rnacentral:rRNA from 1 species
GAUGAACGCUGGCGGCGUGCCUAAUACAUGCAAGUCGAGCGAACGGACGAGAAGCUUGCUUCUCUGAUGUUAGCGGCGGACGGGUGAGUAACACGUGGAUAACCUACCUAUAAGACUGGGAUAACUUCGGGAAACCGGAGCUAAUACCGGAUAAUAUUUUGAAACGCAUGGUUCAAAAGUGAAAGACGGUCUUGCUGUAACUUAUAGAUGGAUGCGCGCUGCAUUAGCUGGUUGGUAAGGUAACGGCUUACCAAGGCAACGACGCAUAGCCGACCUGAGAAGCUGAUCGGCCACACUGGAACUGAGACACGAUCCAGACUCCUACGGGAGGCAGCAGUAGUGAAUCUUCCGCAAUGGGCGAAAGCCUGACGGAGCAACGCCGCGUGAGUGAUGAAGGUCUUCGGAUCGUAAAACUCUGUUAUUAGGGAAGAACAUAUGUGUAAGUAACUGUGCACAUCUUGACGGUACCUAAUCAGAAAGCCACGGCUAACUACGUG